CACACACACACACACACAUUGGAAUGAAAUCUGGAGCAACACAUUAGCAAGAUUUUUUUUAAUUGUUAUUUAUAAUUUGUUACUAAUUAUCAUCUAUCUCUAUUGGGUUGAAGGGAUUGUUGAUGAAUAAGUAACCCUUUCAAUAAAUGAUGGAUUAUAGAGGGCUUUGAACAAAGUGUUAGAUAUACAUUUUAAUCUUCAUAUAACAAACUAAAAGCUAUUAUACUAUACUUUAAGGGCUGAACCAAAUUUGAAUCUGGAAGAUGCCGCUGCUGAACGAGUUAAGAGACGAAACUCAUGGGUGUGACCAUCCCGUGGACAGCUUCAUUGUCCAGGGCUUAUUGAAAGGAUUAGGGAACUUUCAGAGACGUCCCUCAGUGAUUGGGUGGUGCUUUAAAAUGUUUCAUGAAACGGCAGUCAACAACAUUCCUUGCAUUAGAUUUUUACAAGACAAAAGAAAAGCCCUGAGAGACCUCUCCACUCAGUGUCCUGGGAAGAUCACUGUAGUCAAGCUAGAUGUAUCAGACGUGGACAGCAUCUCCUCUGCGGUCGAGACAGUGAGCAGGAUCAUCGGGGCCGGGGGGCUGAACCUCCUCAUCAACAACGCUGCCAUCAACAGACCCGAGACCCCCGCCCCCCUCUCUGCCUGCGGGAAGAAGGACAUGAUGGAGGCGUACGAAACAAAUGUGGUCGGCCCGUUUCUCCUCGUGAAGAUGCUGCUCCCGCUCCUCCAGAAGGCUGCAGAGAUGGACUAUACUGUGAAGGGUGAUAAGAUGUCCUGCAGCAGGUCGGCCAUCGUCAACAUCUCCACGCUCAUCUCGUCCAUAGAGAAAUGUCCAGAAACAUUCCCCAUCGCACAGAUGUACCCUUACAGGACCAGCAAGAUAUUACGUCAUAUCGGACGCAGAUCUGGAUCAGCUCCGUUGUACCCCCGUUUUUAGAGAUUUGGGUACGGAGGAAAAGAGAGAGGGGUUUGUUUUCUGACACUGCCGCGCUGAAUAUGCUGACUCGCUGUCUAGCUGAGGAUUUCAGGAGACACAACAUCCUGGUGGCGGCGGUCCACCCCGGAUGGGUGCGCACGGCGAUGGGGGGGGAAGAGGCUUCUCUGACCCCCCAGGACAGCGUGGGGGGGAUGCUCAGUAUCCUGACAUCACUCAGCAACAAACACUCUGGGAUGCUCCUGGACUGGGAGGGCAACACAAUCCCCUGGUAGCAGUCACCAUGACAACCACCGUAAAAAAGAUCGAGUCACAUCUGAAAUCAACGUGUAUCUUAUAGGCCUGUAUUACCUAUCAGAAAUAAAGUCAACAGAACUUAAUAAAACUGAAGAAAAGAAACCCC